GGAUGAACGCUGGCGGCGUGCCUAAUACAUGCAAGUCGAGCGAACAGACGAGGAGCUUGCUCCUCUGACGUUAGCGGCGGACGGGUGAGUAACACGUGGAUAACCUACCUAUAAGACUGGGAUAACUUCGGGAAACCGGAGCUAAUACCGGAUAAUAUAUUGAACCGCAUGGUUCAAUAGUGAAAGACGGUUUUGCUGUCACUUAUAGAUGGAUCCGCGCCGCAUUAGCUAGUUGGUAAGGUAACGGCUUACCAAGGCAACGAUGCGUAGCCGACCUGAGAGUGUGAUGUGGCACCAGGGUACUGAUACACGGGCCAGACCCCUACGGGGGUCAGCAAUAGGGAAUCUUCCGCAAUGUGCGAAAGCCUGACGUAGCAACGUCGCGUGAGUGAUGAAGGUCUUCGAAUUGUAAAACUCUGUUAUGAGGGAAGAACAAAUGUGUAAGUAACUAUGCACGUCUUGACGGUACCUAAUCAGAAAGCCACGGCUAACUACGUG
rnacentral:rRNA from 1 species